AUACUUACCUGGCAGGGGAGAUACCAUGAUCACGAAGGUGGUUUUCCCAGGACGAGGCUUAUCCAUUGCACUCCAGAUGUGUUGACUUCUGCGAUUUCCCCAAAUGUGGGAAACUCGACUGCAUAAUUUGUGGUAGUGGGGGACUGUGUUCGCGCUCUCCCCCC
rnacentral:snRNA from 1 species